rnacentral:rRNA from 1 species
UACAGAGGGUGCGAGCGUUAAUCGGAUUUACUGGGCGUAAAGCGUGUGUAGGUGGUCAAGAAAGUCGGUUGUGAAAUCCCUGGGCUCAACCCGGGAACUGCUUCCGAUACUUCAUGACUCGAAUUCGGUAGAGGGAGGCGGAACUCCAGGUGUAGCGGUGAAAUGCGUAGAUAUCUGGAAGAACACCAAUGGCGAAGGCAACCUCCUGGGCCUGAAUUGACACUGAGACACGAAAGCGUGGGGAUCAAACAGG